rnacentral:rRNA from 3 species
UGGGGAAUAUUGCACAAUGGACGGAAGUCUGAUGCAGCAACGCCGCGUGCGGGAUGACGGCCUUCGGGUUGUAAACCGCUUUUUCUCAUGACGAAGUUUUUUGACGGUAGUGGGGGAAGAAGCACCGGCUAACUACGUGCCAGCAGCCGCGGUGAUACGUAGGGUGCGAGCGUUGUCCGGAAUUAUUGGGCGUAAAGAGCUUGUAGGCGGUUUGUCGCGUCGAUAGUGCAAACUCAGUGCUUAACGCUGAGCCUGCUGUUGAUACGGGCAGACUAGAGGAAGGUAGGGGAGAAUGGAAUUCCCGGUGGAGCGGUGGAAUGCGCAGAUAUCGGGAGGAACACCGGUGGCGAAGGCGGUUCUCUGGGCCUUUCCUGACGCUGAGAAGCGAAAGCGUGGGGAGCGAACAGG